CUCCCCUCCUGGGAGUGUCACCAGUGACAUCUCACUCUCCUCGACUUCCACAGCAGGAUCAUCCAGGUCUCCUGAAUCUGAAAAGCCAGGCCUGAGCUGCAGCAGCUUCCCGGUGGCAUGCCGCCUCCUGCCCUCUCACCAUCCCCCCUAUUCCCCACCCCCCGCACGGUGGUAGAGGCGCUGCAGGCUGGGGAGUAGCGCUAGGGCACGUUGGCGGUGGCCGUCAAGCUCUACAUCCUGCACAAGUACCCAACGGUGGACGUCCUCCGCUUCAGGUAUCUGCUGAAGCAGGCGCUGGCCACUGGCAUGUGCCGCAGCCUCCUCGCCAGGCCCCUCAACUCCGAAGCAAGGGGGGCCACUGGCAGCUUCAAAUUAGAUCCCAAGCACAAGAGGAAAAUCCAGCCCAGGGAGAUGGCCCCCUGAUGGUCCCCAGGAGAGCGGAAAAGGCCAAGGGGAAGGACGCCAAGAAACCAAGUGAGGCCAAGGAGGAUCCUCCUAACGCGGGCAAGGUGAAGAAGGCAGCGAAGAGGCCAGCAGAGGUGCAGAAGGCUCCUCCCAAGCCAGGUGCAGCCACAGAGAAGGCCGGCAAGCAAGGCAGUGUGGGCAAGGACACCAGGCCACAGCCCGGUGAGGCUAGGAAGGCACCCCUAAGCCAGACAAGGCCACGCAGGUCCCUUCCAGUGCCAGCGGGCUUAGUAGGAAGGCAAAGGCCCGAGGCAGCAGGAGCAGCCAAGGAGAUGCUGGGGACCACAGGAAAAUGAAAGCUGGGAGUAAGAGUUCAAAACCCACUGUCAGCAAGGUCAAGAAUGGCAUUGCUUCCUCGACCAGAAGGUGGUAGCCAAGACCAAGGCUCCUAAAGGGGCAGCUGCCCAGGGGCCAAACACCAAGGCUGCUUCUCCUGCUAAGGGCAGUGGGUCCAAGGUGGUGCCUGCACACCUGUCUAGGAAGACAGAGACCCCCAAGUGCCCGUGAAAGGCUGGACUGCCCAUUACGGUCUCCUCAUCUGACGUAUCUAGCCAGAGGGCUGUAU
rnacentral:lncRNA from 1 species